rnacentral:lncRNA from 7 species
AGAAGCAAUGCCUGUGUCAGUGUGCACCUCUGGAGCAUCAGACCGGGCUUUCAUCGCCAGCCUGAAGCUGUUCUCGUUGACCUCUGACCAUGUAAUGCACCGUCCUGAAGCUGCCAAGAAUGUCACCACAAAACACCCGCGUAACAGCAACGAGUGGCUGAGCAUUAAUGAGUCGAAGUACGGCCACCGGAAUAUGCUGAGCUCAAUUCAGAUUGGUGUGGCUGCCUCUGCGUCACUGCCGACUUCUUAGUAAUGUUCCAGUGCACGCGGAGGAUUUAGUCAUCUGGCUGCAGAGAAAUGGUACAGCUCCAGCACCGUCUGUCAAGGAAUUAAGCUGAAGCAAGAGAUGAUCGGCAGUGCUUCUUCCCAGUGGGCAAACAGAGGAAGGCUGAAAUGAAGGAUUAUUCUACAGCGAUAGCACUCCCUGGGCAGCAAGCUGCACCUCCACGUUUCCAGAAAGCCUGCCCAAGCUACAGAACAAACACACCAGGAGCUGUCUGGGUGCAUUCACCCUCAUCCCGCUGGCCGGUGCCAGCUGCAGGCACACAUGGGCGUGCUGCUGCUGUGACAUGGGGACAGGCACAGCCACCUGCCUGCAGGGCUGGAACCUCGGGGCGCAUCCUACAUCUCCAAGAAGGGAUGUCAGAGAGCUCAUUCUCAGGCUUAUGGCAGCUCUCAGUUCCCUUUUUGUUUUUCCUUCAUAUAAUGGGUGUUAGGCAAUUGUUGCAUUUUGAGCGAGUUGCCUCUUAAGACUGUUGCUACACAGUAUGUUGCCUUCCUGAACAAUAAAGGAAAUGCUG